ensembl:snRNA U1 U1 spliceosomal RNA
GUACUUAUCUGUCAGGAGAGAUACCAUGAUCACGAAGGUGGUUUUCCCAGGGCCAGGCUUAUGCGUUGCACUCCUCAGGGUUAUGCUGAUCCCUGCGUUUUCCCCAAAUGGAGAAAACCCGACUGUAGAGUUUGUGAUAGUGGGGGACUACAUUGAAGCUUUCCCCUG